rnacentral:snRNA from 1 species
GUGCUCGCUUUGGCAGCACAUAUACUAAAAUUGGAACGAUACAGAGAAGAUUAACAUGGCCCCUGCACAAGGAUGACACGCAAAUUCGUGAAGCAUUCCAUAUUUUU